rnacentral:rRNA from 1 species
UAGGGAAUCUUCGGCAAUGGGGGCAACCCUGACCGAGCAACGCCGCGUGAGUGAAGAAGGUUUUCGGAUCGUAAAGCUCUGUUGUAAGAGAAGAACGUGUGUGAGAGUGGAAAGUUCACACAGUGACGGUAACUUACCAGAAGGGACGGCUAACUACGUGCCAG